rnacentral:ribozyme from 1 species
AAACACCAUGUCAUCGUUCUCAGAGCCGAAGACGAAUAAACUCAUCGAAAAGGAUAGGAAAGCAUGGAUCGAAUACAAUAUGACUU